rnacentral:ncRNA from 2 species
UUUGUUUUUAUGGGAGAGACUAUUAUAGCGCCGAAGGAGCAACUUCCCCGGAAACUCUCAGGCAAAAGGACCAUUUAAACAUA